rnacentral:snRNA from 1 species
GGCUGUGAGGUCGACCUGUCUGGGACAUCUGUCACCCCAUCGAUUGCCAAGACGAUCUGACUGGCUGUGUGGCAGCUGUCCCCUUCCUUCCACACCAAUCCAUGUAUGUUCCUCCUGAAGCUGCACCCUAUACUGAAAACUUCCAGCAACAGAGCAAUAUCUGUACUCUCCUGCUAGAUCCCCCAAAUAAAUUUCAAGAAAAACCUGGGCAUAUCAUAAUACAUGACUACAAAACUAUGGUAAUCAAAAUAGUAUGCCAUGGCUAU